CACGCACCUGCGCCUGCCUCGACAGAUCGGCAUCGGCAUUUCGGCGGUCCCCUUCCCGGUCAAAGCAGUGAGGUGGCGGCAUCCCUCCCCCGAUCCCUCGUUGGCCUGGCACUGUCGACGAGGCGUCGUGGGCGCAGAGACAGCCGCGCCGCAAAACGGAGGCUCUGGAAGAGACAGCCUCGGAAAAGAUGACGCACAAGAGACAGGCGGGACGCAAAAGACAGGAGCAACGAUGAACCGCGACGAGCUUGGAGGGACGGAGGCGCGCGGCGAUGCCAGGGCCGACGAAGAGAGCGCUGAGAGAGCGAGGAUCUCAAAGCUGUUGUGGCGAACAGAAGCGAGCGCGUCCUGGGGCUCUGUUCUCCCCACAGACCUCCACUUUCCAGCGCGCUUUCACCCGACUCGAAGGGAAUUCUCAGAGAGCUUUCCGCUCCAGAGGGAGCGACGGAGCGGCCUGUGUACAUCCAUCAAACGCAGUCGCCUGCCGCGGGGACUCGAGCCCCUCGGAGGCGUGUGAAGCGGCGAGAAAACGGAGACAGCGAGGGCAGCGAGGCACGCAGAUGCAGGCGUCUCUGACUUUUUUUUUUUGGGCGAGAGACGCGCGCCUCGUCGGAAGAGCGCAGCCCCUGGAGGGACCAGAGCCGAGGCGGUCGAUUGGGUUAGUUCCUAAAAGGAAACCGAGACUUGCGAGACGCCCACGUCACGAAGCGACAGAGGAAUGCCUCCAAGGAAAAUCGCACUUUCUCGCUCGACAACAUGUAUAUAUUUGUCUACACAUGUGCAUGUGGGUGCAAAUGGAUUGGCGCAUGUGAACAGGGAAAUAUGAAAGCGCCCUGGUGGUUGUCCAGGGUAUGUGUUGAGGUUCCAAUUUGUUCAGACUCCCGUUUAUUUCCGCCCUUUUGGGCCCCAAGUUUUCUCCGAGUUUCUCUGGGGGACAAAGAUAUCGCAGUGCACAGGCACGUGCCGGGUUGUGGCGCGUUUGCGUGGCUCGAAGGCAGAGAUCUUUGCGCUUCCGCGCCGGCUGUUUAGAGCCAAGAAACACGACUAAAACGACUUAGCGGACUUCCCUGGAAAGCGUCUC
rnacentral:lncRNA from 1 species